rnacentral:lncRNA from 1 species
GGAAUUGGUGGGAAUUUAUGCAAGCUUUUACAUCCUCACAUCUAGUGAGGGUGUCUGUGUUUAAUCACACUUUGAGAGUUCUGUGCCAGGUGACUGUGUUUGGGACGAGAACUAGAGUCUGAGUUAACACCACAAUGGAGGGCAACAUAAAAAGGAAACUUAGCAAUUUCUUUCUUUCCAUUUUUAUUCUUAACUCAGCUUUGUUCAUUAUCCAUUCAAGGAGAUGAACUGACCUGGGACAAUCGAGAAGACUCAAGAAGUGCAGAAGUCAGUCUGUGGAGUGCACUCCGCCUUCUCUUUGCAGAGACACUGGGCACCAGAUGCCAAGAAACAGCCUCCAAGGGACACCCAGCACUUGGAGGUGCUGCUAAGUUUCCCUCACUCAGAGGGAGCUACUGCCUGUAAGUACAAGUGAAAUGCUGCCUGAAUUUGGGAUGCUCCUGUGGUGUUUUCAGCAUGUUAUUGCUUAGUACUCUCAUACGGCCGUGCAUCCUGG